rnacentral:rRNA from 1 species
AAUAGAUACCCGGGUAGUCCACGCCGUAAACGAUGAGUGCUAAGUGUUAGGGGGUUUCCGCCCCUUAGUGCUGCAGCUAACGCAUUAAGCACUCCGCCUGGGGAGUACGGUCGCAAGACUGAAACUCAAAGGAAUUGACGGGGGCCCGCACAAGCGGUGGAGCAUGUGGUUUAAUUCGAAGCAACGCGAAGAACCUUACCAGGUCUUGACAUCCCACUGACCGCUAUGGAGACAUAGUUUUCCCUUCGGGGACAGUGGUGACAGGUGGUGCAUGGUUGUCGUCAGCUCGUGUCGUGAGGUGUUGGGUUAAGUCCCGCAACGAGCGCAACCCUUGAUCUUAGUUGCCAUCAUUUAGUUGGGCACUCUAAGGUGACUGCCGGUGACAAACCGGAGGAAGGUGGGGAUGACGUCAAAUCAUCAUGCCCCUUAUGACCUGGGCUACACACGUGCUACAAUGGACGGUACAAACGGUUGCCAACCCGCGAGGGGGAGCUAAUCCGAUAAAAAUCGUUCUCAGUUCGGAUUGUAGGCUGCAACUCGCCUAC